UCUGGCCUCCGACCACAGACCUGUGCAUAAAAACAUCCUCCCUUGGCUUUAUUUUCCCCGCUUUGAGCUUCUGAGCUGAUUUCUGUGCAGCUGGAUGUCAAGUGCCACCAUUUCACCAUAGUCACCCUUUCUUUUGCCAUGGAAGGACAAAACUGAGGGAAGAAUCCAUUGUGGUCUGCGACGCAAGCUUUAUGCCUGUUUUAUUUAACUGCAAUCCAGUUUAAUGGAGCUGGAGCAACUGCACUGGGCCCGGCCCACGCCCCAGGAUGGACCUGAGCCCCCCGCAAAGCAACCCGGAGAAAGUCAUAGAGCCCCACAAUCCAUACAGACAUCCCACAGAGACGCACAGCGACCGCUAGAGACUCGUAGAGACCCCAUAGCGAUCACUUAAUGAUCCCAUUACGGUGGGUCUGGGCUGGGUGUGAGGCCAAGGCGGGGUUAAUAAAGGCCUGGGGGCGUGGUCUGUGCUGUGGGAGGGGCUAAUGUAGGGGGGUGGGUGUGGUUUAGGCUAAGGGAUGGGUGGUACCAGGAGGCGAGGCCUCUGUUGGGGUGGGCCAAUGAGGGACAAGGGGCGUGGACUCGGGUGAGGGUGUGAUGGAGGCUGUGGGUGUCUGUGGAAAAUGUGAAAGCAUUCCUUCGUUAUGAGGAACGCGGUUCUUUCUGAUAAUGAGCUGUAUCCCCUUCAUUAUUUUAUAGAGGCAAAGAAGUUGUAUAACGUUUACUGUUUUCUUCUGGUGUAUCUGAUAGUAAAGAUCUUGCCUAACGAAAAGCAGUCUUUGAAA